AUGUACGAUAAUGUUGUGACAAGUGUUCGAACAAGUGAUGUCGACACUGAUGACUUCCCGAUUAAGAUAGGACUGCAUCAGGGGUCAGCUUUGAGCCCUUAUCUUUUUGCCUUGGUGAUGGAUGAGGUCACAAGGGAUAUACAAGGAGAUAUCCCAUGGUGUAUGCUCUUUGCGGAUGAUGUGGUGCUUGUUGACGAUAGUCGGACGGGGGUCAAUAGGAAGUUAGAGUUAUGGAGAGAAACCUUGGAAUCGAAAGGUUUUAGGUUUAGUAGAACUAAAAAUCGAGUACAUGAGGUGCGGUUUCAGUACUACUAG
rnacentral:rRNA from 1 species